GAGUUUGAUCGUGGCUCAGGAUGAACGCUGGCGGCGUGCCUAACACAUGCAAGUCGAACGAAGCGAUUCUGCGGAAGUUUUCGGAUGGAAGUAGAAUUGACUGAGUGGCGGACGGGUGAGUAACGCGUGGAUAACCUGCCUCAUACAGGGGGAUAACAGUUAGAAAUGACUGCUAAUACCGCAUAAGCGCACGGGAACGCAUGUUCUGUGUAGAAAAGCCGAGACGGUAUGAGAUGGAUCCG
rnacentral:rRNA from 1 species